GGGGGGGGCCGGGGAGCGGGGCGAAGGGCCGGUCAGCGCGCGGUGGCCGGCCUGCUUAGUCACCGGCGGGGCCCCCUCGCCGGCUCCUGCGGUGGGAGGCCCUGGGGUGAGGCUGGUCCGUCCCCCGCCGGCCCUUACAGUGCCAAGGGCUGACAGGAACCCGCCCGCCGCGGUGUUUGGGGGCAGCCCCCAGCGUCCCACCGGCGGCGGUCGUCCCGCCGAGCCGGGGCUGUAUGAGGGGAUGGGCGCGGUGAUGCCCCACGGGCUUGUGCGACUCGGUGUCCCCGUGAGGCGGGAGCAGGCCCUUCGCGUGUGUGGGGCUGUCGCAGGCGCCGCUCCAGCGCGGCUGGGUCGGUGCCCGGCGCGGCUCUCCGGGCGCGGCUGCGAUGCGGCCUCGCUGGCAGCCUCCAUGGCAGGGAGCCCGGCGAAGGUGUGCGAGGCGGGCGGCUUCCCGCGGCGCGGCGCGGCGGGCGGGGAUGCGCGCAGCGCAAGUACCGUAGUAGCAGCGUGGCUUUGCCAAUAGACAACUUAAACCCCCAAAGAUUUUUCCAGACUUCAUGAAAUAGGACAUCUUACAGAGGCUGCAGAAGGUUUCCUGAGAAAAUCGGUCUGCAGCAUCAGAGAAUGCACAUGGGUGGAAAUACAACUGUAAUAAAAAGACUUCAAUUGGUUUUUGCCUGGAAGCAAGAUCUUAAUGAAAUGGGUGCAGCCCGCGUGACAUAGCCCUAUGAUUGUUAUGAGAAUGCGGAAAGGUGCCUCACAUCUGUUACCCAUGGUAGUAUAGACGGUAAGCACAGUGCAGGUUCCUUUAAGGUCUAAAUGGGAGCACCUACUGGACCACAUUGUGAUGCCUUCCUACUCAGCGUGCCUACAUUUUCUUCUUUAAGAAGAUAGAGUUCAUGAAGGAAAAAGGAUGAGAAAGCAAUCUGUACGCUUUUUUUUCUUUGCAAGCUGGAUGGCAACAAGUGGCCCUGAGUCUUGAUACACCCCAGGUCAAGACAAGACAUGCCAGGCAUACAUGCACCUGAGAUUUGCAAGCCACUGGUUCCCACAGUAUAGACGCAGCUGAGCAGAUUGCUGAGGUAGCACAAGGGCCAGAAGUAGCGUAUGUAUCUGGACUGAAUAGCAGCAGUAAAGGGCUGGGGAAAUAAAAAAUUAUUUUAUGGUGAGUGUAUUGUAAUAGCAGAAACUCCUUCAGUUCCUUCCUUUUAUCUGCUUGCAUCAAGCCGUUUGGAAGUGUUUCAUGUCUUUUGUUGCAUCACAUGAGAAAAAAGAUGAAAAGAAAUGAAUAGUGCUGUGCUCAGCUCCUGCUCAUUGGGUUUAUGUUGAACUCAUGAGGACCUGAUGCAGAAUUCUUUUUUUAAUUAUUUUUUUAAGUAUACAGAUCCUGCAGUAUAGUUGAAGCCGUGGUUCUAAAUUCUCAGUAAAAAGCUGGACUUAUUUAUCUCUUUUUUGUUGUGCAAAGAUUGUUUACUGACAAUUGUCAUGGUUAGGUUUUUAAUGAAUGCUUAGUCCUUGCUUGUCAAGAACAAAAGGACUGAAAUAUGUUUACAGAUCAGGCUGCUGGUGACCUCCACUUUCCAUUUUGUAAUGUUUAACAUGCGGUUUCAAUGUUUUGAAUUUUUGCUUAGCAGGCUGAGAGCUGCACCAGAACUCUUUUAAAAAUAGUCUUCAUAGCUUAAAUGUUAAUUGGAGUUUCUGUUGGGGAGGUUGAGAAUUAAAUGCUGCCGAUGUAGCUUUACAUGGAGCAAAGUAAGAAUUAGGCCAAUGUGAAAUACGUCCUGGUGUUGCCUCAAAAUGAAAAUACGGAGUGCUACCAAACCUAGACUUGUGUGGGGCACCACAGAAGUAUGUUGUGUAGUAUCCUUGGAGUAAGAUUGUUACCUUGCAAGGCAGAAGGCAAUUGAAUAAAACCCACAUCAACGCACAUUAGCUAUUUCCUGUUAGGAAACACUGGGUAUCGUUUUUCAUAGCCAUACUUUAUGAAGUACAUGUUAUGAUAAUUGUCAAACGCUGUGAUUCUUCUUCUUAUUUGGUAAAUCUUGUACAUGUGGAUGAGAUAUUAUUUUUCCAGGGGUAUGUUUAUAUGAAUUGCAGCCAGUUCCUUUACCUAGAAAACUAUGUCAAUGUAAUGCAAUGUUAUGUAAUUCGGUUCUUAUAUGCUGCAUAUCACAGAGUUGAAUUUCUUCCAGAAGUGCGUUAAGUAAUGGGAUUGUUAUCUGCUACAUGUGGUUUUCUCUCUCCCGUUCUUUCCAAAGGUGACUUUUGUGCUUUUUUUAUUUCUGGUGUCUUUUAAAAUUGUUAUUACAUUAUCUGUACACAGUUCUGUAUGCAUUCAUGUGACUCGCAUUCAGAGUAGAAGACAGUGAGCUUUGUGCUGAGGAUAAUUCCAGUGGGAACUCAUCCAGAAGUCUCGUGCUGGCCCGAGAAAGCUGUAUUCUGCAGAGCUUUUCUUUGGAGAUGGAUAAUCCCACUGCACCUGUGCAACGAAGCUGCUGUCUAUUUUUCCUCAUCCUGUCUCCCUCUGUAGGUAACCAUUCUUAUAAGCAUCUGGGGUCCCAAACUUCUGAAUCCCUUAUGAACAAUGAUGCAACACUGAAAGUAACACCACAGAUUAAAUACAAGUCUUGGACCUGCACCAGUCCGGAAUGGUGCUCACAGCACACUUGUAGUGUCCUUGCACAUUUGUAGUGCCGAUUCUCUGUAACAGUGGUGAGGGUGACAGCAGGACCCAGGUUAGAGUGCUCUUGGGAGAACCCAACUUUGGAAGCAGUGUUGCUGUGGGACAUUCCUCUCCUCCUUUCUUUCGUUCUUUCCAGCUUUUAUGGCCUGAAGUCUAACACUGGGACUUCAAAUUCAGGUGUUAAAGCUGAAGCAGUGGCUGAUACAUAUCACACAAGUGAUUAUUAAGGUGGCGCAAGCCCUUUUGACCAAGUAUUACUGCUGUGUAGUUUCUUGUCUUUGUGAUUUUUCCCC
ensembl:lncRNA